AUAUUACUCCCUCCGUCUCAAAAUUCUUGUUUUAGAUUUGUCUCAAUACGGAUGUAUCUAGAUACAUUUUAGUGUUAGAUACAACCGUAUCUAGACAAAUCUAAGACAAGAAUUUUGGGACGGAAGAAGUAUUAA
rfam:Triticum aestivum genome assembly, contig: Triticum_aestivum_CS42_TGACv1_scaffold_221525_3B